rnacentral:misc_RNA from 1 species
GUGAGUCAUCGAAUCUUUGAACGCACAUUGCGCCCCUUGGUAUUCCAUGGGGCAUGCCUGUUCGAGCGUCAUUUACACCCUCAAGCUUUGCUUGGUGUUGGGCGUCUGUCUCCCUCGAGAGACUCGCCCUAAAGGCAUUGGCAGCGGUCCUGUCGGGCCUCCUAAUUGCGCAGCACUGUUCGCGCUUCCUGGAGCCUGUGCGGAUUUCAGCGUCCAUCAAAAGCCCAUCCAUUCUUUGACUUGACCUCGAAUCAGGUAGGGAUACCCGCUGAACUUAAGCAUAUCAAUAAGCGGAGGA